UUGACGUAGACCCGAAACCGGGCGACCUACCCAUGAGCAGGAUGAAGCGAAAGUAAAAUUUCGUGGAGGUCCGAACCCACGAGCGUUGAAAAGCUCGGGGAUGACUUGUGGGGAGCGGUGAAAUUCCAAUCGAGCCCGGAGAUAGCUGGUUCUCCCCGAAAUAGCUUUAGGGCUAGCCUCAAGGUGAGAGAUACGGAGGUAGAGCACUGAAUGUCCUAGGGGG
rnacentral:rRNA from 1 species